AUCGCAAAAUAUUAUUUAAACUGGUAGGAAUACAUAUUUAGUUUGAGUGUCUCUGAAACUUUGCCUGACGAACCCCAAGAGGUUUGGUAUAGGUAGGUAGCCACUGCCUACCGUACAUGUAAGUGUCGAUAGUAUGUCAGAUUAGCUCCAGGCUACUGUCAGAACAUAGUGGCUGGGUGGCUGUCAUAAGCUACCAAUGCCCAUACAUUUUGCUGUAUGGUGUGUUAAUCUUUCCCUCUCUUACUGCAGUGUCAGAUUUAGUUAAUUUGGAAGUAGCAGUUCGGGCGAACUGCUACUGUUCCCAGAAGAAAAACGAUGAGCCUCACACCCUGCAGGCUAUAGUGCUAGGAAGUCAGGCCUGAGUCUGAAAUCAAACUCUAUCUCGCUUUUCAUAGUCUUUUGUGAAUCAAUGGGACUGUUACUUAGGCCUACCUUUCUGACCACUUUAAUUAGAUUUUCAUUUUGUGAUUCAAACAGGCCCACCUCGUAAUAUGUAGCAUAAUGGAUAGCCUAGACCUAGAGCAUGGUUUCAGACCUUCACAGAUCCAGUUGCAUGUUCAGUCUGUGUGUGUUUUUAUUAUUAUUGUUUCUUGUUGCUACACAUGACUACCACUUCACAGGGGAGAAAAGCGUGCCAACACCUCUGUCGUGCACCAGUGUUCUGCAGUCGUGGACCAAGGACACAGGUUUAUGUGUAUACCUCAGGCCUAGCCAAACAUCCUGUAUAGUCUACUCAAUAAUAGUAUUCGAAGUUCUUGUAUAUAGACAGACACGACUAACACUGACUUAAGUGUUGCUACACUGACAAUAUGAUUUAUGUGCUUACAUAUUUUUUCUUUUUGCUCCAGGGGAUUUCCCCCGGAACCCACUGACCAACUUGUGGUCAGGAAACCCAAGGUUUGGGUUAGGUGUUUUAUUUUAGCACAUACAUGGACACAUACCUCCUGAAUGCCAAGUAAAUAUGGCCGAGGGAUACAUGCACCCCAUUAAAUUUAUUUAUUUCUGUUAAAUGUAUAUAUGUAAAUAUUUUAAUCAAAGAAUUGGAAACGAACAUUCCUGAACAUUUGUUUAAGGUAACACACUCUGAGCACCUUUAAAACAAGCCUGAAGACUUAUGUUUGCAUUAGCUUUAUGCUACAUCUUAAAUACAUUGCACUUUCUAAAAAGCUUUUUUAACUUUGCCUUUAUUUUCUAUUUUAAUACUAAAAUGCCUUUAACUUUCUAUUUUACUCAUUUCUCUGCAUAUUUUUUCUUUUACUUAUCUAUUUUAUUGUAUGACAAUGUUUGUAUGUGAAGCACUUUGAGUCUGCCCUUGUGUAUGAAAAGUGCUAUAUAAAUAAAGUUGCCUUGCCUAACACACAGAA